GUGCUUGCUUCAGCAGCAUAUAAACUAAAAUUGUGAAUGAUACAGAGAAGAUUAGCAUGGUUUCCACAAGGAUGACUCGCAAAUUCAUGAAAUGUUUAAAACAAAA
ensembl:snRNA U6 U6 spliceosomal RNA